UAAUGUGUAUAAAGUAAAUCCUCAUCUAAUUGUGGCAAAUCUACACCUGACUACUUAGAAUCACAUGUUAUCGCAAGCCCAACUACAUAAAAAAUAGUUUCAAAUUUUCGUCCCAUGUUAUU
rfam:Populus trichocarpa scaffold_3_contig_42, whole genome shotgun sequence.